ensembl:lncRNA
GUUUGUCUCUACUGGUGUCUGGAGGAGUAGAGGGUUUGUCUCUCCUGCUGUGUGUCUGAAGGAGUAGGGGUUUGUCUCUCCUGGUGUGGUGUCUGGAGGAGUAGGUGGUUUGUCUCUUAUGGUGUGGUGUCUGGAGGAAUAAGGGUUUGUCUCUCCUGGUGUGGUGUCUGGAGGAGUUGGGGUUUUGUCUCUCCUGGUGUGGUGUCUGGAGGUGUAGGGUUUUGUCUCUCCCGGUGUGGUGUCUGGAGGAGUAGGUGGUUUGUCUCUCAUUGUUACGUUCCCCAGAUUAUGUGUUGUAGAUUGUGUAUUUGCAUGUGUUUAUUUCAGGAAAUGGCUUCCUGAAAUUCCUCAAGCAGCUGAUUGGUCGACUCCAGGGCUAAUUGGAGAGCUGACCCCGCCCCCUCGUCAAGACACAGCUGUCUCCAAUUACCCAUUCCUUCAGAAGCUAUAUAAAAGCCAGUGUUCUGUUCAGGAGUUUUUCUUUUUGCUAGAGAGAUUUGCUGGGAGGUCAUUGUAGAGAUUGUGAUAGAGGUUGAUUUUGCUGGGAGUACAUUGCUGAGUUUGUUGCUCAGAAAGAGCUUAUUUGACAUCCUUUUGUUUCUUAGUUUGUUUAAAAUUGUUUAAUAUUCUGUUUCAUUUGUUCCCAGGGGGAAAGGGAAGGCACCUAGGGAGUGCUUAGG